UACGUAGGGUGCGAGCGUUAAUCGGAAUUACUGGGCGUAAAGCGUGCGUAGGUGGUUCGUUGUGUCUGUGGUGAAAGCCCCGGGCUUAACCUGGGAACGGCCAUGGAAACUGGCGAGCUGGAGUGUGGCAGAGGGGGGUGGAAUUCCGCGUGUAGCAGUGAAAUGCGUAGAGAUGCGGGGGAACACCGAUGGCGAAGGCAGCCCCCUGGGCUAACACUGACGCUGAGGCACGAAAGCGUGGGGAGCAAACAGG
rnacentral:rRNA from 1 species